rnacentral:ribozyme from 1 species
UACCCAGCAACUCUUACCCCUACCUCCACGUGGCACCGGCCGGGCUGCGGCCAAUCAGCGUUGCCAGAUGAGGGCGAG